CGUCUGCGUGCACUCUGGUGUAUCAGGGAUAUUUUGUUAGUGUUUUGUAUGUAUUUAAUGACGUAUUAUAUAGGUCCCAUUGUUGUUGCUUUUCAUUUUUUGAUGAGACAACGUUAGUGUGUGCCAAAGUGACUGUGAAAAUGACCUUUUAUUCUUACUCGUGAUGGAAAGACUUCCUGUCAUGCAUCCCACAAAUAAACUCAAUAAAAGUUCAGUGAAACCGGG